AAUUUUUAUACAUAAGGCACCUCGUUAAUUUAGUUUAGUGGUAUUUAUUAAAUUAUACGAAAGUGUCUUAUUUUUUUAAAGUAUUUAAAAGUAAAAUUACAUGUUAAUACGUAGUAUUAAUGGCGAGACUCCUGAGGGAGCAGUGCCAGUCGAAGACCGAGGCUGAGACGG
rnacentral:sRNA from 1 species